GCGCCUGGAAACGGCCGCCGCAGGGUUGGCGGACUUGAGAAGGAGCGAAGAUGGCGGAGUGAGGCUCGUUGAGGCUAUCUGGCCUUUGGGCCAGGGGGCGGGCCGGCCCCCGGGCACUGGAGUGCUUCUGCUGCCCCGUGCGAGGAAGAACAGUUUCCUUGCCAUUUAGGUGCUUUUAUAUUCAUCUCAAAAAGAAAACAAAAUGCUGAACUCGGGAUUUGGCAAGUAUUUCUACAUUGUCUCCUGGAGUGGGGUAGUCCUACUUCUUUUAUCCGGUCACCUUCCCUAUUGAAAUGUGGAUAUCUCUUCUCUACACUUUACCUCCAUGAUUUGGAUUGGAAAAGGCUGCUUUUCUUUUUGUUCCACCACUCAGAUUCAACACAGAGAAGCUCCUGGGGUGCAGUCAUCCUGCCAGGUUCUUUUGGAAGAAAGAAGCAGCUGACAUGUAUCUUCAGCUGCUAUUUGCUUAAUCACAAAGAAAUCAUUUCAAAAGCUGAAGGCUGAUGUGUGGUUUGAAACAGAUGCUUUGAUGGUGAUGUUUGUGAAUUAUUUACCUUUUGUUCCAAACAAGAAGACUGAAUAUAAAUAGUAGGACAUCAGGGUUUUCGGUUUUUUAACGUCUUCCAGUUUUAACCACUAUCAUGAUAAGCACAGUUGAGACUUGGCAACAAUAAAUUCCAGAUAUAUGUUCUAAUUUGAAGUGAAAGAGAUGUUUAAAGAGAUGGCUUACAUAUGUAUCUAAAUCCUGGCUUAUCCUUUGACAUGGAUUUACUAGGUAAGAACAAAGGUACCAUUUUGCAAUAAAAUCCUUGAUGUGAUAAAGAAGUAAAAAGACAAGAUAUCACAAGGUUACUUUCAUAUGUGAAUAAACCAUCACAAACCUAUAAAUAGCUAUUUUUACAUAUGUAAGUCCACAGUUUGGGAUGAUAAGAGGAAUUUCUCUCCUGGAGAAGGAAGCUGUGGUUGACUUCAUUCUCAGAAAUCUUUGGAUAUUUGGUAUUUUUAAAUGUUUUUUCAUUCAUCUAAGGAAUGACCACAUUGUGCAGAUGCUAACCUUAUGAAUGCAUGCUUGGGUUUAGUGAAAGAUUGGUAAAAGGAAACAACAGUUUUGACUCCAGUGAUGGAACCCUCUUCACCUCUGUAGCAUGAGAGACCUACUGUAUUACAAAGUGUUUCAUUCUUUUUUGUGGAGUCUUAUAUAGCGCUUGAGACUUGGUUUUACAUGCUGCUAAGGCUGAAAGAAAAGUGGCAUAAGUGGAUUUUCUCUUCAGAGGAUGUGAUGGACCCUACAGUAUGGCCUGCCUCAGCUAUGGACAUAGAGGAGUGGAGGAAAAAAGGACAGUUUCCGUAUUACUCCUUUCUCUUAGGAAAAAGAAGUGAAAAUGCUUCAUGCAGCUCCGUCUGAGUUUAUGGCAUUUCACAUUCUUACAGCUGUUUUUUGUAAAAGCAUAAAUAAUUUUCUUCCUUUGACCCAAGAUGGGUUCUUGGGUAUUUGAUUUGUUUUUCUAGGCAAUAGGUGUAAUGUUUGACUGAAGAGGCUUGGACUCAGGUAACUUUCUCCAGUUGGAACUGAACUUAUGAGAGAAUGGACCUCCGAAGAAAUGUACCCAAACGUGAUUGGUUCAGUGUAGAUUUAGAAAAAUUCAGAGUCUGAAAAAAAGGGGGGAAAAAACCCCCUCAAACAGGAAAAAUAAUUCCAAUAAGAAAAGUAAUGCACUUCCUUUCUGUUAAAACAUAUAUUACCUGAUGAAGUCAAUAGGGUAAAGCUGUCCUUGCUUCCAAAUCAACAGAGGACCAUUGUAUGAAUUGCCAGGUCUUUGCAUAAGAAGGAAAUCUUUUAUAAUAAGUCUUUGUGAAUAGAGAAAGAAUUUAAAGCUGCUUUGAUGAACUUAAGAUCAAAUCAUGUUAGAUCAUCUCUGUGAUAUAGGGAAUGUUUGCCCAGGGCCAUACGUGCUGUGCUGCUGAAAUCUUGGGAAAGAUUUAUCAGAAUUUGAGAGUGAUCAAAAUAGCCAAAAGUGGAAAAUAAUUGAGCAUUCUUAAUCAUUAGUUAAAUUGGUCAGCUAGUUUGCAUUGACAUAAAACAUUUUGGCAAAAUAAUUAACAGAUACAAUAUAAUUUCCUUUAAUUGUGAACAAUUAGUGGUAAAGCAUAGUCAAAGUAGCUUAGAUAAAGGUAACUUAAAUUUUUCUCUUAGUAACUUCUCAGCCAUUUCCUGAUGUUUUCUUUCAGUAUUUUGGAAUUGUUAAAAACAGUGUAGGAAUGCUUUUAGCAAUGGAACCUGCCUAUAUGAGUCCCAUUGGCAUGUUGAAAAUAUCACAUUUGUCUGUUAAACCCAUCUUCCCCAUUUUUUUUCUUUUUUGGCAAGAAUCGUUUGGCAGGGUAUAGAAGAGACGUGUACCAGCAGCACCAGUGAAACUGUCUCUUUCCCACUUGUUUAAAUAUGUGUGUGUGUAUCAGACUCAUCUUCUCAAGUUGCUUUACAUAUUUUCAUUUCACAGCUUAGGAGACCACUGCUUAAUGCUUUCUUUCAAAUUGUUUCUGCAUCUUCCAUGAUUUUCAUCAGAUGGCAUUUAACAAAAUGAAUAUAUGCCAGUUGUACUUGCCCAGUGUUUACUUAUUGCAUCUACAUUCUUUUCCCUGAUGUAUUUUGUUCCACUUCAUGACGGCAAAAGCUGUAAUUUUAGGCAGGACUGUGCCUCAGUCUGUAGCUGUGCCUACUUCCUUUACUUUGCUCGUGCGUGUUAGCUGGCAUUUUUUUCUUUUAAAAAGUUGAACAAAAACGGGAUAUGUGCAAUAGAAAUAUAUAUAUGUAUAUUUUUUUUCUAAAUACUUGUGGACAAAUGUUACAAGUUGUUUAAGAACAACAAAAUCACCAAUGUCUUCCAUUCUGAGACGUGUAUAGUUUUGUAAGCAUUAGUGCUUGGUAGCAUAUGUAGUGCCAUGUUAGGGGUUAGUGCAUGAGCCUAGUGAUACUUUAAACUUCAGGAUGAAUUACAGAAAAUAACUAAUAGUGUAAAAAGAUUGGGAAAUCUAGACCUUUUGUUUUUCCAUAAAUAUCUGAAUCUGUGAUAUUCUCCCUGGGGAAAAGAGAUUAAAGCCGAAAGUACUCAUUUAGGAAUAGAAAUGUGGGGUUACAACAUGAGAUACUGUCUUUAAGGAUAUUUAAGCUUUCCAUUGGGUAGCUGGAAAGCAGUUGCCUUUGUGUCUUUAUGAAACCUUACAUCAAAAUGAGGCCCUAUUUCAUGAUUUGGCUUUGCUCUCAAGUUUGAAGUGAGAUUGUUCUUACACUGUUUUCACAUUGUAUGUCUGGUAGGUUUAUUGUUUUCCCACUCCUUUUGCAUCAGAUUAUAUUUUGCAUGUUACCAAGAUUCUCUGUUUAUUGCUUAAGUGACUUUUUCUAAUCUGCAGGCCAUUUAUGCUUCCAUCUGCAGUAUGCUACAUGUUAACAGAACAACACUGAUCAGUAGUUCAGAGUGUCCUAGAUGAAUUUCUCAUGGGUUUUUCCUGUUUCCAAAUCUGCUGAAUUGUUUAUUGAUGGGAUUCCAGACCUUUUCAUGAGAAUUGGAAGUGUAGCUAAAUGGAGCCUUACCUAGGCUGCCAUGUAUUAACUCUCUGCUUGGUUAUAGUAAUUGCCUCAGGCAGCUUUCACUUUUUUCUGCUUUCCUCGUAGAAAUAAAAGUUUGUUUUGUUCUGAAAGCAUAGCUUUCUGUAGAAAAGAAAUUUCUACCUCUAAAAGCUUUCUUGAGAACUUGGAAAUGGCAGUUUUCUGGGGUGAUUUUUAUAUCUCAGGAGAGUUCAGGAUAGACACAGAUUCUGCAGUUAGUAUGAUAUGAAAUGCAAAACAUUUUUAAUGUGGUGUGACACGUGCAGAAGCAGGCUUAAACAAAUAGACUCUUGGGCAGCAGAUCUCCAGGGACCCAGGUUUAGAUUCUUAGAUUGUAUUUAAAGUGGUUGUACUCUUGUUUCAAGUAGUUGAGUGCCUGGGAGAAUCCACUUCUGAAAAGCAUUUAAACGUUUUUAAAAAUACCUCUGAAAAGGUAAUGAAUGCAAAAAGCAGAAUAUAUAGGAAAGAAUAUUUCCUAUUGCAAAAAAAAAAAGCCAUAAAACAAGCUGAUAAUUUUCAAGAGGUAGAAUUUCAGUAGCAAUAACAGUUUUGCAUGUAUAAUAAGUUGCAUUAGCAAGGUUGUACAAUAAACUACUACUUGAGUUUGAGACUCUGCGAUCAACAGAAUUCCAUGAAAGGAAAAAGAUGUUCUAGAUAGAAUAUAUAGAUGUACUUUAAAAAAAAAACUAUGAAUGUGCAUGAAUAUAUGUGAGAAAUAGCAACUUUUGUGUAAGUCAAAGUUUAAAUACUUUACUUGGUUGCUAGAGCAGAGGGUUAAAGCCUCAUUAAAUUUACCUUACCUGAUGCUUAACCUGCUUUGUCACCUCAUCUUUUUCCAUUAGUUUCCUGGGUAUAUUUUUUUAAAGAGAGAAAAGUUUGUUGUGUGUAUAUAUUUAUGGUUUAAAAAACAAACCAAGAGCUUGGAUAACUGGCUUUUCCUCAUGCCUAUUAAUGUAGGGGAGUUAGGAUUUAAAGGUGUUAAGCAAAAGGAUUGAAAGGAAUGGCCAAAGACAGUACAUCAUCUAAUGUAGAUGUGCCAAGGCCUGUGGUCUGUUGACACCUUAUUUUAACAGGAACCCAGCAAACUAGUUUCUUGAUCUGAAGAAUAACACAGCUCUCACAUCUGGAUGUAACGGUGUAACAAAGGCGACUACUUUUACCUCAUGUUCACCUUGGCCAUUUAGUACCUUGAAGAUACCCAAAAAGAGUGUGUUCCCUUGUUUCCCAGGGGAAGAAGCUGAAAGGUAAAUAGAGUGGGUCUAAGAAAACAGUGCCUCUUGAAUACUAAAUUCUUAAAUGGCAACUCCAAAGGAUAGAGAAAAGGCUAUCUUAAAUGAUUGUAGCUCCUCUUUAUAUGUCCUAUGCCUUCAGUUGGUGUUAGAGGCAUUGGAAUAACCAAGCAAUAUUCAGACAUCUGCACGAUCAUGAGGACACCACUGCAUAUUACAGUGUUGUCGACAGUUUAGUUAAUUAGAACAAUUAAAAUAUUACCCUCAACAGCCACAUUAAUAGUUCUAAAUGCUCAAAUGUGCUCUUAAGUUUUUGUGGUCUCAAAUUAUGGUUGAUUAUUUUUCAAUAUUGUGAUCCCAUGUUUACUCUUUAUGUACCUGUGAUAUGCAAAAUAUGAAGAGACCCUUGGCCUCCAGGAGUUUACAUUCUCAUGGUGCUGCUGGUACAAGCAAAUUGCUUCUAGUUUAUUCAGAACAUUGCUUGGCUGUUAAUUAUACCAUGUUAGGAAGGAUUCCUUGGCCAACAGUUUUCAAAAGCAGAGGGCUAUGCUAAACUUCAGGGCAUUGAUUUUUGAGUUUACAUUGUAUUAGCUCUGCUGUUCAUAAACUCCUUUUCCCCAGGGAGCUGUGCAGGUAUGCUCAUUAAUGUGAAUCAGAAACCAUUCUGCCUAAGAGCAUUUUCAUCAUCUGUACCACCUAUGCUCUUCUAUGCCAUCACUGUCAGUAAAUGGCCAAGAAAAUUUAACUGCUCCAGAGGACAUCUGUCAGUUCUCUUUUCCCAAAUUUUUACAUUAUUCUCUACCCGAAAGGACCAGAAUUUGCAAUUAAGCCUUUUAUAACUGAAUAGUGGUCCUAAUUUUAACCUUUUUGUCUGUGACUUUUGUAACUCUAUUCUGAAGCAGCAUUGUGAUAGAUGUGGAGCAGCUGCCUGCAUUUCUAAGCAAUCACUUUAUUAACCUAUAUUUUCAGUUGAAACUGCAUGUAUCCUUGUAAUUUUCCCUAAUUCCUCUUAGUCAAAGAGUUUACUCUGCAUGUUUAUUAAAACUGGGUCUGGAUGAAAGUAUGAGCAAUAGUGGCAGGCCCAUAACUCUUAAGAGUAUAAUCCUAAUGCAUGGUUGAAAAUGUACAGUGUUAAUGUGGUUACUAGUAAUUAUAUAUAUCCAUUUAUUAGUAAUGAAGCAAUAGACUUAAACCACUAUCUUGAAUUAUUGUUUGGAUCAUUAGUUUUCAUUUUCUAAGUAAAGACUCUUUCUUCCAUUGAAAAUGGGAGCUAGAAGAUAAACAGGGGCAACCACAAGACAUUCAGACUGUCAGGAAUAGAGCAUAACAGUGCUUACCCUCUAACCUCUCGCCUGCUUCCAUUAGUCCCCAAGCAUGUUUAAAAACAAAAGGCACAAACUAAGCAUGUUGAAUAAACAAACAAGCUGCUGUGGUUCUAUUCAGGUGCAGAGUUUCAGAAAGGGUAUGGAGUGCCAGUGUGGAAGAUGUAAAGUAAUCAGGAAUGGGAUUUGUCUGAUAACCAGUCUAAUUUCCAAAUCAUGCUAGUGUUUAUAGUUCCUAAGGACAAGAAUUAAAAUACUCUUCGUUAUAAAAAAAAAAAAGUUUAUGUGGCUUAAGUUUGGAUCUCUUUAAGACUAGAACCUUGAAAGUGAAGAGAAACAAUAAUGCACAUAUUUCAGACGUUCCAGGAUUUUCAGGUAACUGGGCAGCUCUUUGGAUGGUACUGCUAUUAACCCAGCCAUAAGAGUUCCUUCCAGCAAAGGAGCCCUUUACAUUUUAUGGAAAUAGUCCUUAAAAUAUAUACACAUCUGUGGUUUGGUUUCUCUGUUGUUCCUGUAAUUCAAAUUUUCAAAGAAAAGUUUUAUAGCCAGAGUUUUAUCCUUAAUAUUUUGGUUAGACUUCAUAAUUGGUUGCCUAAAGUUUUUUUUAUGCCAGGUAAAAAGCAAUUUUUCCCAUUCUGAAGAAAAACCUUGUCAUUUAUUUUCUUGAUGUAGAAAAUAGACCAGUUUAUUGUGAUAGCCUACAAUUUUUUGAGAUGAUUUCUGAUUUUGAAAUAACCCCUGUAAGAACAUGUGAUCAUGACAAAUGUACAAAUAGGAUUCAUUGUAUCUGAAAGAGGCCUAAGUAGAAGAGAAUUCAGGAUUAGACUGGUUUUCACUAGGCACCAUCCAGUUUCAUGUUCUGUGAUUGAAAAAUAUUUUUUCCAAAAUUAUUUCAACCUGAUUUUAAUCUUUGCUGUGGGAUUUGAUUCCAAAUACCUUUGGAUAACUUUCCAGUAGUUAAAAAUUGAAUUACUAAUAGUCAUUUCACUCAGUUCAGGAAGUGAAAUGUCAUAUCCCAUAUGUAAAGUUUCUCUUUGAUACUUACCAGUAACAGGUCUGCCAAACAAACCAGUAAAGAUUGAAGGACAGAGUUUCUCUAAUCUGUUUCCAUUAUUCCACUAGGGCAUAUUAAAAUGUUAAUAUUAGAAAUCCAAACAUCACAGAUUUCUUUAGGAACUCAUACUUCUAAACCUUCAAGUCAGAAUAGAUAGGUUAAGGUUAGAAUUUUCAAAAGAUUUUGUCUCCUUUGGUGAUGCUAUGCCACACCAAAGAUUAAAAUGUUUCUCUCCCAGGGAUAAGUAUUCUGGCAAUAAAUUAUCAUCAGUCCUUAAGCAACAGUAAUGUUUUGACCCUUACCUUAAGACCAUGUAUCACUGGUCAUUUUAAAAGAUUCAUAUUAGAAUAACCUUCACAUAGACUUACUUCAGUAGCUUGUUUUUACUUACUGUUCAGCAUCUUCUCCCUCCCAUGGUAUAUAAGAUAAUGUUACAAGACUUUCAUUGACUGUUUGGAGUUUUACAAAAGGCCGCUUGCUUUCUAAUCUAUGCAUCUUUGGGACUGUAGAUGAAAUUUUAUUCUUUGCUGUAAGAAGGAACUGCUGUGAGUUAGAAGCUCUGCACCUGUGUACAUAUAUAUUUUGGCAAUAAAGCAGCAUGAGCUGAGAAUGCA